UCCUGACCGUGCAAAGGUAGCAUAAUCAUUUGCCUAUUAAUUGUAGGCUAGAAUGAAGGGACAAACGAGAAUACACCUGUCUCCUUUAAGCCCUAAAAAUUUAUCUUUAAGUGAAGAAGCUUAAAUUCAUAUGCAGGACAAGAAGACCCUAUAGAGCUUUACCUAAAAUCUACAUAAAUAGUAGCUAGCGGUUCGGUUGGGGCGACCGGGGGACAUUCAUCACCCCCAAACUAAAAGAUAUACCUAUCCCACCAAAGAUCCUUACUCAAGAUCAAAGAAUCAAGCUACCUUAGGGAUAACAGGCUAAUCCUCUUAGAGAGCCCUUAUCGCAAGAGGGGUUGGCACCUCGAUGUUGGCUU
rnacentral:rRNA from 1 species